AACGAACGCUGGCGGCAUGCCUAACACAUGCCAGUCGAACGAGACCUUCGGGUCUAGUGGCGCACGGGUGCGUAACGCGUGGGAACCUGCCCUUAGGUUCGGAAUAACUCCCCGAAAGGGGUGCUAAUACCGGAUAAUGUCUUCGGACCAAAGAUUUAUCGCCUUUGGAUGGGCCCGCGUUGGAUUAGCUAGUUGGUAGGGUAAAAGCCUACCAAGGCGACGAUCCAUAGCUGGUCUGAGAGGAUGAUCAGCCACACUGGGACUGGGACACGGCCCAGACUCCUACGGGAGGCAGCAGUGGGGAAUAUAGGACAGUGGGCGAAAGCCUGAUCGAGCAAUGCCGCGUGAGUGAUGAAGGCCUUAGGGUUGUAAAGCGCUUUUACCCGGGAUGAUAAUGACAGUACCGGGAGAAUAAGCUCCGGCUAACUCCGUG
rnacentral:rRNA from 1 species